rnacentral:rRNA from 1 species
UACAGAGGGGGCAAGCGUUGUCCGGAUUUACUGGGCGUACAGCGCGCGCAGGCGGAACUGGACGUGCCGUGUGACAAGCCACCGCUCACCGGUGGAGGGCCACGGUACACGACAGUUCUGGAGGCAGGGAGAGGGAUGUGGAAUGCCCGGUGUAGCGGUGGAAUGCGUAGAGAUCGGGAAGAACACCCGUGGCGAAGGCGGCGUGCUGGGUUGCAACUGACGCUGAGAUGCGAAAGUGUGGGGAGCAAACGGG